rnacentral:rRNA from 1 species
GAGCGGCGAACGGGUGAGUAACACGUGAGUAACCUGCCCCAGGCUUUGGGAUAACCCUCGGAAACGGGGGCUAAUACCGGAUAUUCAUGUCGUGUGGCAUCACAUGGUGUGGAAAGUUUUUCGGCUUGGGAUGGGCUCGCGGCCUAUCAGCUUGUUGGUGGGGUGAUGGCCUACCAAGGCGACGACGGGUAGCCGGCCUGAGAGGGCGACCGGCCACACUGGGACUGAGACACGGCCCAGACUCCUACGGGAGGCAGCAGUGGGGAAUAUUGCACAAUGGGCGGAAGCCUGAUGCAGCGACGCCGCGUGAGGGAUGAAGGCCUUCGGGUUGUAAACCUCUUUCGACAGGGACGAAGCGCAAGUGACGGUACCUGGAGAAGAAGCGCCGGCCAACUACGUGCCAGCAGCCGCGGUAAGACGUAGGGCGCGAGCGUUGUCCGGAUUUAUUGGGCGUAAAGAGCUCGUAGGCGGCUUGUUGCGUCAGCUGUGAAAACCCGCAGCUCAACUGUGGGCUUGCAGCUGAUACGGGCAGGCUUGAGUUCGGUAGGGGA